rnacentral:rRNA from 1 species
GACGUAGGGCGCGAGCGUUGUCCGGAUUUAUUGGGCGUAAAGAGCUCGUAGGCGGCUCGUUGCGUCGGCUGUGAAAACCCGCAGCUCAACUGUGGGCUUGCAGCUGAUACGGGCGGGCUGGGAUUCGGUAGGGGAGACUGGAAUUCCUGGUGUAGCGGUGAAAUGCGCAGAUAUCGGGAAGAACACCCGUGGCGAAGGCGGCUCUCUGGGACGGUACUGACGCUGAGACGCGAAAGCGUGGGGAGCGAACAGG